rnacentral:rRNA from 1 species
GCGGGAUGACGUCAAAUCAUCAUGCCCCUUAUGACCUGGGCUACACACGUGCUACAAUGGGCGGUACAAAGGGCUGCGAACCCGCAGGGGGAGCGAAUCCCAAAAAGCCGCUCUCAGUUCGGAUUGCAGGCUGCAACUCGCCUGCAUGAAGCCGGAAUCGCUAGUAAUCGCGGAUCAGCAUGCCGCGGUGAAUACGUUCCCGGGCCUU